rnacentral:rRNA from 2 species
CUACUACAUGCAAGUCGAACGAACUCUGGUAUUGACUGGUGCUUGCAUCAUGAUUUACAUUUGAGUGAGUGGCGAACUGGUGAGUAACACGUGGGAAACCUGCCCAGAAGCGGGGGAUAACACCUGGAAACAGAUGCUAAUACCGCAUAACAACUUGGACCGCAUGGUCCGAGUUUGAAAGAUGGCUUCGGCUAUCACUUUUGGAUGGUCCCGCGGCGUAUUAGCUAGAUGGUGGGGUAACGGCUCACCAUGGCAAUGAUACGUAGCCGACCUGAGAGGGUAAUCGGCCACAUUGGGACUGAGACACGGCCCAAACUCCUACGGGAGGCAGCAGUAGGGAAUCUUCCACAAUGGACGAAAGUCUGAUGGAGCAACGCCGCGUGAGUGAAGAAGGGUUUCGGCUCGUAAAACUCUGUUGUUAAAGAAGAACAUAUCUGAGAGUAACUGUUCAGGUAUUGACGGUAUUUAACCAGAAAGCCACGGCUAACUACGUGCCAGCAGCCGCGGUAAUACGUAGGUGGCAAGCGUUGUCCGGAUUUAUUGGGCGUAAAGCGAGCGCAGGCGGUUUUUUAAGUCUGAUGUGAAAGCCUUCGGCUCAACCGAAGAAGUGCAUCGGAAACUGGGAAACUUGAGUGCAGAAGAGGACAGUGGAACUCCAUGUGUAGCGGUGAAAUGCGUAGAUAUAUGGAAGAACACCAGUGGCGAAGGCGGCUGUCUGGUUCUGUAACUGACGCUGAGGCUCGAAAGUAUGGGUAGCAAACAGGAUUAGAUACCCUGGUAGUCCAUACCCGUAAACGAUGAAUGCUAAGUGUUGGAGGGUUUCCCGCCCUUCAGUGCUGCAGCUUAACGCAUUAAGCAUUCCGCCUGGGGAGUACGGGCCGGAAUGGCUGAAACUCAAGGAAUUGAACGUGGGCUGA